rnacentral:rRNA from 1 species
AAGUUAACUUCGGUACAUCGGUGACAGGUGGUGCAUGGUUGUCGUCAGCUCGUGUCGUGAGAUGUUGGGUUAAGUCCCGCAACGAGCGCAACCCCUAUUGUUAGUUGCCAUCAUUCAGUUGGGCACUCUAGCGAGACUGCCGGUAAUAAACCGGAGGAAGGUGGGGAUGACGUCAAAUCAUCAUGCCCCUUAUGACCUGGGCUACACACGUGCUACAAUGGUUGGUACAACGAGUUGCGAGUCGGUGACGGCGAGCUAAUCUCUUAAAGCCAAUCUCAGUUCGGAUUGUAGGCUGCAACUCGCCUACAUGAAGUCGGAAUCGCUAGUAAUCGCGGAUCAGCACGCCGCGGUGAAUACGUUCCCGGGCCUU